UACGUAGGGGGCAAGCGUUGUCCGGAAUCAUUGGGCGUAAAGCGCGUGUAGGCGGCCCGGUAAGUCCGCUGUGAAAGUCAAGGGCUCAACCUUGGAUGCCGGUGGAUACUGUCGGGCUAGAGUGCGGGAGAGGCGAGUGGAAUUCCUGGUGUAGCGGUGAAAUGCGCAGAUAUCAGGAGGAACACCGAUUGCGAAGGCAGCUCGCUGGAACGUAACUGACGCUGAGACGCGAAAGCGUGGGGAGCAAACAGG
rnacentral:rRNA from 1 species